UUCGAGGAGAAGCUUGAAGCCAUGAAGGAAGCCAAGGGGGUGAAGAACGACAAUGACCUGACUGCCUCUGACCUCAAAGAGCUGGUGGCUCAGUACAAGGAGGUCUACGUCGAAGCCAAGGGGGAGCCAUUUCCCUCAGGUAUGCCCACCGCAGCCUCACCCUCAGUUGAUAAUAUCUGUAUGAAAAAAAAAAUUCUCUUGAAACUAAAGCUGUUUCUUUGCAUCAAACUUAUGCAUGCCUUUACCUUGUUUUGUCUUGCAGAUCCCAAGAAGCAGCUUGAGCUAGCAGUGUUGGCUGUGUUCAACUCGUGGGACAGCCCCAGGGCCAACAAGUACAGGAGCAUUAACCAGAUCACUGGUCUGAAAGGCACUGCUGUGAACGUGCAGUCCAUGGUGUUUGGCAACAUGGGGGACACUUCUGGCACUGGCGUGCUCUUCACUAGGAAUCCUAGCACUGGAGAGAAGAAGCUGUAUGGCGAGUUCCUGGUGAAUGCUCAGGUAUGGACCAGUUUCUGUUGUGCCUAUUUGAUUCACAAUCUUAGCUGCCCUGUUUGAUCAAGUUAUUUUACACAAGUUAUAUUAAACAUGCAGUAGUAUCAACGAAUCUGUAUAAUGUAUGUGUGUUUCUGGUUCAGGGUGAGGAUGUGGUUGCUGGAAUCAGAACCCCGGAGGAUCUUGAUGCCAUGAAGGCACAGAUGCCGGAUGCUUAUGUAGAGCUCGUUGAGAACUGCAAGAUACUGGAGAGCCACUACAAAGAAAUGAUGGUACCUUAUUAUUGCAUUUUCAACCUUUACUGCACCAUUUAUUUUUGAGCUAUAUUUAAACAUGAUCUCUUUAAUAAUUUGCAACAUAAGCGCACUUGAAUACUGGUGUUGCUUCAAUGUGUUCUGUAGAUUGGCAUUGUGUCUCUGUUACUGCCAUUGGCCAUGAUCUCAGACUUGCUUGCUUUUUAUGCAUGAUGCAGGACAUUGAAUUUACCGUUCAGGAAAAUAGGCUCUGGAUGUUACAGUGCAGAUCAGGAAAACGUACAGGCCAAGGGGCGGUAAAGAUUGCUGUGGACAUGGUUAAUGAGGGUCUUGUUGAGCGCCGUCAAGCGAUUAAGAUGGUAGAGCCAGGCCACCUGGACCAGCUUCUCCAUCCUCAGGUAAUGGAUAACCAUGAGGCCCGUAAACUGAUUGUGCCUUACUUGAAAUUCAGUACUCUUAUAAGUUUGGCCUUACUUGGAAUUCACUUUAUAAGUUAAGUACUGGAUAUGUAUUAACAUCACUGUUUUAAUCUUGUCCAAUGAAAACCAGUUUGAGAACCCAUCAGCAUACAAGGAUCAAGUAAUCGCUACAGGCUUACCAGCUUCACCUGGGGCUGCUGUGGGCCAAAUUGUAUUUACUGCAGAGGACGCUGAAGCAUGGCAUGCCCAAGGGAAAGCUGCUAUCCUGGUAAACACCAUUUUAUCCUCAUUUUUAAGAAAAAAAGGUCUUCUGCAGUUUUUGUGUCAUUUUGAUCUGGACUUUGUGCUUCGAUGAAAAGAUCUGUUAAUUGAGCAAAACUGGUCUAUUUACUGGACCUGUUAGAAUAGUUGCUUGCAGAGUUACAGUCACAAAAAUCCCACUUAUCACAGACAGCCAUUUUUGAAAUGCAUAUGGAAGCUCCAAGUCGUAUCGCUUCAUCUUUUGCAUUCUGAGAAUUUUUUCUUUGCAAAUAUAUAGGUGAGGACAGAGACCAGCCCAGAGGAUGUUGGUGGCAUGCACGCAGCUGUUGGAAUUCUUACAGCAAGAGGUGGGAUGACCUCUCAUGCUGCUGUGGUAGCACGUGGUUGGGGAAAAUGUUGUGUCUCAGGAUGCUCAAGCGUUCUCGUAAAUGAUGCUGAGAAGGUGAAUAGAAUUCUUGUUUGCACAUCUUCUUCUUUGUAGAAGGUGACAUGCCAUGUUAAAGUUUGUAACAGGAUUAUGACAUUCUUUGUAGAUGUGCUCCGUCCGCCAUUUUUAAGUUCUUAUUAACGAGAUUUUGAGGAUGUAGAUGUUUCCUUACUUUGCUAUGUCUACAUUUACAGUCUGUAGUGAUUGGAGACAAGGUGAUGCAUGAAGGUGAGUGGCUAUCACUGAAUGGAUCUACUGGUGAAGUCAUCGUGGGGAAGCAGCCACUUUCCCCACCAGUCCUCAGUGGUGAUCUGGGAACCUUCAUGUCCUGGGUAGAUGAAGUUAGGCAACUGAAGGUAAAUUCCUAGAAAUAACAAAUAUGUAAUAUUAGUUAAAACAUGGAUACAAACUGUUGGAAGUAGAAACCAACAAAAAGGGCAUCAGAUUAUUUAUUCAGACAGGCCAAAGCUAGUCAACCCCACUACACAUUUUUCAACAGAAAUGCUUAUUCGUACAUAUGAUCCACCUUCCAGGUUUUGGCUAAUGCGGAUACCCCUGAGGAUGCACUGACAGCAAGAAACAAUGGGGCAGAAGGAAUUGGACUAUGCCGGACGGAGCACAUGGUAUGUAUUUUAGUUACUGUCCAAUAUCUUUUGGGUGGGAUCUUGGAAAACUUACUCUUUCUUGAAUUCCUUCGUCGAACAGUUGGGUAAACUUUAAGGACCUCCCGUUCUAGUCUCAUGUUCUCCUUUUCUGCACUUUGGCAGUUCUUUGCUUCGGAUGAGAGGAUUAAGGCUGUGAGGCAGAUGAUUAUGGCUCCCACACUUGAACUGAGGCAGAAGGCACUAGAUCGUCUUUUGCCUUAUCAGAGGUCUGACUUUGAAGGCAUUUUCCGUGCUAUGGAUGGUAUGUGAAAAUCACGAUGCAUUCAUUUACAUGCUCUCCAAUUGAACUGGAUGCACUAGUGUUACUGAACAUAACAAGAGUAAGCAACCUUCUUAAAUAGACAACAUUGACUACUAAUGUAAAGUGAAAAGGUAGACAAGUUUUAAACCUUAGGAUGCAAAAUACUUCAAAAAUAAGAACGAAAUUGGGCCAGUAACAUAUUGCAUCAAUUAUUUAACUUGGUAACAUAAAGUUCUGCUAUGAUUUAUCCAUUAGUUUUUUUUAAUCUUUUAUAGCGAGUGGUAUAUGUACAUGUUUCAUGGAAACAGAUAUAGAAUUAAACUACUAGAAUAAAUUUUAACAUGUAUUGUAGUUAGUUCCACAGUAUGUAUUUUAAAGUGCGGAAUGGAUUUGAACAUUAUUUUUUUUGCAUUUCAGGGCUUUCAGUGACUAUUCGGCUUCUGGACCCCCCACUUCAUGAGUUUCUUCCUGACGGGAAUGUUGAAGACAUUGUGCGUGAAUUAUGUUCUGAAACUGGAGCCAAUCAGGAGGAAGCCCUUGCAAGAAUUGAAAGUCUUUCAGAAGUAAAUCCAAUGCUUGGUUUCCGUGGGUGCAGGUUGGUUUUUGUGCUCCGUUUAAAUCAGUCACCCCCCCUCCUUGAUCCAUUUGGUUCCCUUGUUAGUGAAAUAUUAAAAAGAAUAAACUCUGUAUAUUUACCUCGACUAAUAUUGGAACUGCUAAAAUUCCAGGCUCGGUAUAUCAUAUCCUGAGCUAACAGAAAUGCAAGCCCGUGCCAUCUUUGAAGCUGCUAUAGCGAUGACCAACCAGGGUGUUCAAGUUUUCCCAGAGAUAAUGGUUCCUCUUGUUGGGACACCUCAGGCAUGCAUCUUUAUUUCCUUAUUUGUGCAUAUGGUAUCUCUGCAGUUCAUGGUGUUCAAAAUGACAAAAUCAAAAUUGAAUAAACAACCAAGUUCUGUACACAUGUAAUUUACGAUUUUAUGCAAACAUCAAGUUGACCUACACCCAAUUUCCCACCAAAUUCAUUUCUUGAAAUUUUCUCUCUCGAAUUCUAAGUUUAUUGCUUUCACUUGAUUUUUCCUUCAGACAUCUGACAUUUGACUUUUGCAGGAACUGGGGAAUCAAGUGGCCCUUAUCCGUGAAACUGCUAACAAAGUUUUCGCUGCUCUGGGUAAAACCAUUGACUACAAAAUUGGAACUAUGAUUGAAAUUCCGAGGGCAGCUCUAGUAGCUGAUGAGGUAGGAAGCAUCUAACUCCCUUCAGAAUAAUCUUAAAUAUUGCUGUUUAGGUUUAGCUUUUAGAUCAUAUUUUUCAUGAAUGGUUUAGUAAUAGAACCCCGGAUUUUUACUCUAAAACAUGUGAAUAGUAACUGAUGGUAUGAAUUUAUUAAGUGCAAAUAAUAAGUUUAUCCUCUAAUUUAAAAAAAAAACUGACAUUCUUGUUUUGGUUUCACAACCUGACAGAUAGCAGAGCAGGCUGAAUUCUUCUCUUUUGGAACGAACGACCUCACACAGAUGACAUUUGGCUACAGCAGGGAUGAUGUGGGGAAGUUUCUUCCCAUUUAUCUGUCUCAGGGUAUCCUCCAACAUGAUCCCUUUGAGGUAAAAUUUUAGCAGCUCUCACCCUUCAGUUUUAGAUGAUAUACCUGCAUUUUCAUCAUCCACUCUUGUUUUUCAAGGAAUAUUUCCAUCAUCCACAGAUGCGAGCAUCUCAUGUCCUCUAGGCAUUUUUCAUGUCCUUGACUUUUGGUUACGUGCAUGCUCUGGUAAAAUUCAACCUAGUAACUUGCCCAUUGAAUGUUGAUAAACAUAUCAGGUGCUGGAUCAGAGGGGAGUGGGCGAGCUGGUUAAGUUUGCUACAGAGAGGGGUCGCAAAGCUAGGCCUAACUUGAAGGUUAGUUUUUGGGACUUGUGGACAUUGGCUCUUUUCCUUAGAAAUCAUGGUUUCAUUGUUUGGUGCUGUCUGCAAACAGGUGGGCAUCUGUGGAGAACACGGUGGGGAGCCUUCGUCAGUUGCAUUCUUUGCAAAGUCGGGGCUGGAUUAUGUUUCUUGCUCGCCUUUCAGGUUGGUCAAGUGAUAAACUCAAGAUACAACUCCCAGAUUCAUAACUGUAGCAAAACCUUAACUACUUUUUAUGAAAUAUCUUGUGCAGGGUUCCCAUCGCCAGGCUAGCUGCAGCUCAGGUGCUCGUCUGAGGGCACCGCCUCAUCGGCAACCGGAUCACCUGCUGUUGGUGCGUCUGGUGAAGAAUACUAAUACAAAGCCAUGGAACGGUGGAACUCUGCUGCCUGGCAAAGGCCGUUGUAUCUUGUAUGAAGUCUCCGUGCGCGUGCGCAUGUAAGACUUAAUGUGUGGUUUUCUGCAUUUUCCCUUGAACUACCAUGGUAAUGUAGUACCAAACAGAGAUGAUGACGAAGAACAAUCGAAUAAAUUAAUUGGCGAUUAC
rnacentral:lncRNA from 1 species